CUGAGGGAGCUCCUACCGGAGGAACCGCUGGAGCCCCGGGCAGCUGCCUGGACUGGCCGGAGAGCACCCUACCCCGCUACUGGGAAGACCUGCCAGAGCUUCCCCGCGCCACCUACGAUGAGGAGCCCGUAGGAACUUCCCCACUACCGUGCUGUUACCCCGAGGAACCCCUGGAGCAGGAUUGGCCGGACUUCCCAGGGGAACUACCCGAUCUACCCCCCAGCCCGGGUUGUGAGGAGCCCAUGCAGUGGGACUUCCCGGGACCAGACGCCGUGGACCAGACACCCCCAGUGCCCAGGUGGUGUGGGCUGAGGAGGAGUGCGAGGAGGAGUGCGAGGAGGAGGAGCAGGAUUUGUCCCCUGAGGAAGAUACCAUCAUGGUGAUCCAGCAGCACCUCCAGGGCAGAGCUGAGGCUCUGCACAACCGCUAUUUGCGGAGCCUGGACACCAUCCUCAGGGGCCGGCUGACAGAGACCCCCACCAUGGAGAAGCUGCAGCACCUCCUGGACGUGAGUAGAAUGGACGGUCUGGGGUAGAAUUGCCCCUGAACCCUGUGGGAGGACAGCAAAGGAGAGACUAGAAGAGCCACGGUUCCAUUGUGUCCUCCCAGCUUGGACCCAGCCGGCCACACGUUCCCAGAGCUGCCAGUGCAGGGGGAAGGAGCUGGGACUGUCAGCCAGAGCUCUGCACGGUUGCAUUAAGCACUAACAGUGAGCACCAGGCCUGGCUGGGACCUGUGAGACUGAAACCUCUGUGAGAUACAGGACAUGAGCCUCAGGCCUUGUCUACACUACAAGACUAUUUCGAAUCAACUUAGUUCGAAUUUGUGGAUUCGACCUUAUGAAGUCGAAUUUGUGUAUCCAUACUAAAU